rnacentral:rRNA from 1 species
CAGGUAGUCAAGAUGAGAAUUCUAAGGUGAGCGAGCGAACUCUCGUUAAGGAACUCGGCAAAAUGACCCCGUAACUUCGGGAGAAGGGGUGCUCUUUGAGGUUCACGCUUCGAAGAGCCGCAGUGAAUAGGCCCAAGCGACUGUUUAUCAAAAACACAGGUCUCUGCUAAACCGUAAGGUGACGUAUAGGGGCUGACGCCUGCCCGGUGCUGGAAGGUUAAGAGGAGUGGUUAGCGCAAGCGAAGCUACGAAUCGAAGCCCCAGUAAACGGCGGCCGUAACUAUAACGGUCCUAAGGUAGCGAAAUUCCUUGUCGGGUAAGUUCCGACCCGCACGAAAGGCGUAACGAUUUGGGCACUGUCUCAACGAGAGACUCGGUGAAAUCAUAGUACCGGUGAAGAUGCCGGUUACCCGCGACAGGACGGAAAGACCCCGUGGAGCUUUACUGUAGCCUGAUAUUGAAAUUCGGUACAGUUUGUACAGGAUAGGUAGGAGCCUUAGAAGCGUGAGCGCUAGCUUACGUGGAGGCAUUGGUGGGAUACUACCCUAAUUGUAUUGGAUUUCUAACCCGCAGCACUUAUCGUGCUGGGAGACAGUGUCAGGCGGGCAGUUUGACUGGGGCGGUCGCCUCCUAAAGAGUAACGGAGGCGCUCAAAGGUUCCCUCAGAAUGGUUGGAAAUCAUUCAUAGAGUGUAAAGGCAUAAGGGAGCUUGACUGCGAGACCUACAAGUCGAGCAGGGUCGAAAGACGGACUUAGUGAUCCGGUGGUUCCGCAUGGAAGGGCCAUCGCUCAACGGAUAAAAGCUACCCCGGGGAUAACAGGCUUAUCUCCCCCAAGAGUUCACAUCGACGGGGAGGUUUGGCACCUCGAUGUCGGCUCAUCGCAUCCUGGGGCUGUAGUCGGUCCCAAGGGUUGGGCUGUUCGCCCAUUAAAGCGGUACGCGAGCUGGGUUCAGAACGUCGUGAGACAGUUCGGUCCCUAUCCGUCGUGGGCGUAGGAAAUUUGAGAGGAGCUGUCCUUAGUACGAGAGGACCGGGAUGGACAUACCUCUGGUGUACCAGUUGUCGUGCCAACGGCAUAGCUGGGUAGCUAUGUAUGGACGGGAUAAGUGCUGAAAGCAUCUAAGCAUGAAGCCCCCCUCGAGAUGAGAUUUCCCAACUUCGGUUAUAAG